AACCUCAGGAUACUUAUUGAUGAAGUUUUUCAGCUACCUUGAGUGUAACAUAGUGCAAAGAGUGUUGUUGGUUUCUCUGGCAGCAGUAAGAGGUUUCAAAAUGAGAAAGAAGAAGGUCAUACCAAAUCAGUACCAAAAGCCCAGAUUUUUUAUUCUGCUACUGACUGUAAGUGCACAGUUUGCAUCUCCUGCUAAUUUUAGUUAUUUUCCAAAUAUUCUCUCUGCUCCAUCUCCGACUCCAUUCUUUAGCUGCAAAAUCAUGGAAUAAGUAAAAAUAUCAAGACAAAAUAAAAAUGUUAAGGACAAAGGAACAGCAAAAAUAUUGUCUUUCUCCAUAUCCCAGAAACUCUCUCCUCCUCCCAGAUACAGGUUUAAUAUGUGGCAUGUAUGGUGGGAAUAGUCUUCAUUGAGGUUAAGAGGUCUGGAUGGGGAAGGACUAUUGGUCCUUUAGAAGCUGUUAGUAUAGACAUCGUUAGAUUUACGUUUACAAGGGAUAGAUUACUGACAUUAGGUAUGGCUUUAAGAUGCUUUGGUUAUCUGUUAAUUCCUCACGUUCCAAGACUAUAGAAUCUUUGUAUUCAUUAAUUUUUCUAAGAAUCCAACAUAUUCAAGGAAGUAAUAUCUGAUUUACUGAUGAAAGUCAUUUGACUAGUUUCAAGGAAUUCUGAGUGCGGGCGUGAAACUGUGUCCACCUUUCUAGGAGCACCACAAUGCCUUAGUAAGGAGAAACAAAUGGUCUUGCUGAUGAGAUAUGCAGUGUUUGAUACAUUUUCCACCAGUGGGAGAUACAUCGAAAGAUGAAGUGAGGCACUUGGGGAGGAGACUCCAAGCUUGACUCAACGUACGAGGGUAGGGGAUGUCAUUUAGUGCUCCUGAUGUGGACCCGGUGGGGAUAGAGGUUUUGAGGGACUGUAGUCAUGGAACAAUCUGGCUGAUGAUAUAACAGUGAUAAAUGCCUUAACAAAGCAUGCAUCUGAAUUAGAAAUGAAAUAAUUUGAAAGUCAAUGCAGCAUAGACUUUAAAUUGCUUUUGGCCUACAUGCUUAAUACACUUGCACACUCGCAUAAUAAUUAAGCCUGGGAGUUAAGUUCUUAGAGAGCAAAGUGAUCACUCUUCCUGGACAGGCAGGAAACCUGUAAUCCUUAUAUCCACACAGGUCUAAAAAAGUAGGUAAACUGAAAGACACCCUUGUGUCUUAAAAAGGCUGAAGCUUAUGUGUAUGUAUGGAGGGAGCGGGAGUGAGUAUGUGUUGGCUUAUAAAUAAAACUACCUAUCCCCACAAGCUUCUCAUUCAUGUAUGGAAAUGAUUAAUGUCUAGGGACCAAGGAUUUGCACUUCUGCAGCUCGAGCAGACUUGGUUUGAUUGGAUGUAGGUUCAGUGGCCAUUGUUCUCUGCAUAAUGAGAAGAGACCUUGCAUAUUAAAGGUUUGCCCACUUUCCUUUUGUUGCCUCUGUUGACACCCUCUAAGGAUUGUUAUGAGGACUAAGUGAAACGAAGAAUGAAGGUAAAACUCAGCACAACACAAUAGUCUGCAUCGAGUAGAAGUGCUCAGUUAAUGGUAGUUGCUGAGACAUUCAUCAACAUCAUGAAUAACCAUAGUAAAUAGACAUUUAGAGCCAUGAAUGGACUUGCUCAAGAGAGCAAUUAAAUCAGUGGCCCCUGGGCUUGAUGUUUUAUUUCCUUUGAAAAAUAUUGUUGAAUCCUUAUUAUGUGUGUUUACUGUAAGGAAUACAAAGAUAAGAAAGACAAUUUCAACCUCAAAACAAUGCAUGAUUCUGUGAGAGUGAAAAGAGAGGGAACAUCUUGUGCAUGAAUAAUAAAGAGAAUAAGCCAAAAAGCAGGAGGGGACUGGGAUAAGAGAGUGAAUGCUGAGCCUAUGAGUACACUUGUUCCAAUUUCAUAUUCAAACCUAAAGUUGUGCUCCUCCUCCUAAAUCAUCUCCCAGUGAUUUUCUUGCAAGAGUACUAGUUCCGGCCGGGCGCGGUGGCUCACGCCUGUAAUCCCAGCACUUUGGGAGGCC
rnacentral:lncRNA from 10 species